AUCGCUUCUCGGCCUUUUGGCUAAGAUCAAGUGUAGUAUCUGUUCUUAUCAGUUUAAUAUCUGAUACGUCCCCUACCCGGGGACCAUAUAUUAAAUUGAUUUUUGGAGCAGGGAGAUGGAAUAGGGGCUUGCUCCGUCCACUCCACGCAUCGACCCAGUAUUGCAGUACUUCUGGGAACGGUGCACCCCCU
ensembl:snRNA U2 U2 spliceosomal RNA